rnacentral:rRNA from 1 species
GAUGAACGCUGGCGGCGUGCCUAAUACAUGCAAGUCGAGCGAACAGACGAGGAGCUUGCUCCUUCGACGUUAGCGGCGGACGGGUGAGUAACACGUAGGUAACCUACCUAUAAGACUGGGAUAACUUCGGGAAACCGGAGCUAAUACCGGAUAAUAUUUCGAACCGCAUGGUUCGAUAGUGAAAGAUGGCUUUGCUAUCACUUAUAGAUGGACCUGCGCCGUAUUAGCUAGUUGGUAAGGUAACGGCUUACCAAGGCAACGAUACGUAGCCGACCUGAGAGGGUGAUCGGCCACACUGGAACUGAGACACGGUCCAGACUCCUACGGGAGGCAGCAGUAGGGAAUCUUCCGCAAUGGGCGAAAGCCUGACGGAGCAACGCCGCGUGAGUGAUGAAGGUCUUCGGAUCGUAAAACUCUGUUAUUAGGGAAGAACAAGCGUGUAAGUAACUGUGCACGUCUUGACGGUACCUAAUCAGAAAGCCACGGCUAACUACGUG